rnacentral:rRNA from 1 species
GACGAAGGUGGCGAGCGUUAUUCGGAUUUACUGGGCAUAAAGCGCGCGUAGGCGGCUCGGUCAGUCGGAGGUGAAAGCCCGCAGCUCAACUGCGGAACAGCCCCCGAUACUGCCGAGCUUGAGUGCAGGAGGGGUGACCGGAACUCCAGGUGGAGCGGUGAAAUGCGUAGAUAUCUGGAGGAACACCAGAGGCGAAGGCG